UACGUACCGUCCAAACGUUAUUCGGAAUCACUGGGCUUAAAGAGUUCGUAGGCGGCUCAGAAAGUUGGGUGUGAAAUCCCUCGGCUCAACCGAGGAAUUGCGCUCAAAACUACUGAGCUAGAGGGAGAUAGGGGUGAGCGGAACUGAUGGUGGAGCGGUGAAAUGCGUUGAUAUCAUCAGGAACACCGGAGGCGAAGGCGGCUCACUGGGUCUUUCCUGACGCUGAGGAACGAAAGCUAGGGGAGCGAACGGG
rnacentral:rRNA from 1 species